UGGGGAAUAUUGCACAAUGGGCGCAAGCCUGAUGCAGCCAUGCCGCGUGUGUGAAGAAGGCCUUCGGGUUGUAAAGCACUUUCAGCGGGGAGGAAGGCGAUAAGGUUAAUAACCUUGUCGAUUGACGUUACCCGCAGAAGAAGCACCGGCUAACUCCGUGCCAGCAGCCGCGGUAAUACGGAGGGUGCAAGCGUUAAUCGGAAUUACUGGGCGUAAAGCGCACGCAGGCGGUCUGUCAAGUCGGAUGUGAAAUCCCCGGGCUUAACCUGGGAACUGCAUUCGAAACUGGCAUGCUAGAGUCUUGUAGAGGGGGGUAGAAUUCCAGGUGUAGCGGUGAAAUGCGUAGAGAUCUGGAGGAAUACCGGUGGCGAAGGCGGCCCCCUGGACAAAGACUGACGCUCAGGUGCGAAAGCGUGGGGAGCAAACAGG
rnacentral:rRNA from 1 species